rnacentral:rRNA from 1 species
AAACUUAAAGGAAUUGACGGGGACCCGCACAAGCAGCGGAGCGUGUGGUUUAAUUCGUUGCUACACGAAGAACCUUACCUGGGUUUGACAUAUAGGUUGUAGGGAACUGAAAAGGGACCGACCCUUCGGGGAGCCUAUACAGGUGUUGCAUGGCUGUCGUCAGCUCGUGUCGUGAGAUGUUCGGUUAAGUCCGCUAACGAGCGUAACCCUCGUCGUAUGUUAUAUGUGUCAUACGAGACUGCCGGUAAAAGCCGGAGGAAGGUGAGGAUGAUGUCAAGUCAGCAUGACCUUUAUAUCCAGGGCUACACACACGCUACAAUGGUCUGUACAAUGGGUAGCCAAGCCGCGAGGCGGAGCCAAUCCUGAAAGCAGGCCUCAGUUCAGAUUGCAGUCUGCAACUCGACUGCAUGAAGCCGGAGUUGCUAGUAACCGCAGGUCAGCAAUACUGCGGUGAAUACGUUCCCGGGUCUU